rnacentral:rRNA from 1 species
AUUAGAUACCCUAUUAUUUUUAAUGUGAAAAUUAAAGCCGGAGUACUAUUAGUUAAGGUCUUUAAACUUAAAGAAUUUGGCGGUAUUAUAGUCUAUUUAGAGGAAUCUGUUUCUUAAUCGAUAGUCCGCGUUGAACCUUACUUAUAUUAAUUCUUGUAUAUCGCUGUUUAUUGAGUCUAUUAAAAGAUAAUUCUCUGGAUAAAUUAAUUAUUAAUAUUUCAAGUCAAGGUGCAGUUAUGUAUAAGUUUGAUAAUGGAUUACAAUAAAGUGUAUUUAUAUGGAUUUUUAUUGGAAUUUAAAUUGAAGGUGGAUUUAAUUGUAAUUUUUUGAAGAUUGUAAAAAUGAUUAUAGGCUCUAUAAUAUGCACACAUCGCCCG